rnacentral:rRNA from 1 species
GCGGGCUGCGCGCAGCCUGAUCAGCCAUACCGCGUGGGUGAAGAAGGCCUUCGGGUUGUAAAGCCCUUUUGUUGGGAAAGAAAUCCAGCCGGUUAAUACCUGGUUGGGAUGACGGUACCCAAAGAAUAAGCACCGGCUAACUUCGUGCCAGCAGCCGCGGUAAU